UAAGACGAACCGUACGAACGUUAUUCGGAAUUACUGGGCUUAAAGGGUGCGUAGGCGGCGCAGUAAGUUGGGUGUGAAAUCCCUCGGCUUAACCGAGGAAUUGCGCCCAAAACUACUGUGCUCGAGGGAGGUAGAGGUGAGCGGAACUUAGGGUGGAGCGGUGAAAUGCGUUGAUAUCCUAAGGAACACCGGUGGCGAAAGCGGCUCACUGGACCUCUUCUGACGCUGAGGCACGAAAGCUAGGGUAGCAAACGGGAUUAGAUACCCCGGUAGUCCUAGCCGUAAACGAUGGAUACUAGCUGUUCGGAGCAAUCUGAGUGGCUAAGCGAAAGUGAUAAGUAUCCCACCUGGGGAGUACGUUCGCAAGAAUG
rnacentral:rRNA from 1 species